UGGGGAAUUUUGGACAAUGGGCGCAAGCCUGAUCCAGCCAUGCCGCGUGCGGGAAGAAGGCCUUCGGGUUGUAAACCGCUUUUGUCAGGGAAGAAAUCUUCUGAGUUAAUACCUCGGGAGGAUGACGGUACCUGAAGAAUAAGCACCGGCUAACUACGUGCCAGCAGCCGCGGUAAAUACGUAGGGUGCAAGCGUUAAUCGGAAUUACUGGGCGUAAAGCGUGCGCAGGCGGUUUUGUAAGACAGAGGUGAAAUCCCCGGGCUCAACCUGGGAACUGCCUUUGUGACUGCAAGGCUUGAGUGCGGCAGAGGGGGAUGGAAUUCCGCGUGUAGCAGUGAAAUGCGUAGAUAUGCGGAGGAACACCGAUGGCGAAGGAAUCCCCUGGGCCUGNACUGACGCUCAUGCACGAAAGCGUGGGGAGCAAACAGGAUUAGAUA
rnacentral:rRNA from 1 species